rnacentral:lncRNA from 1 species
AGGCCACCAAUCACAGGCGGUUCGCCAAACCGCCUGUAAAAAAAGGUUUAGAACCGCCUGUAUAGUACCUCUAUGUACUAGUGUUUUAGAAAACAAGCUUAUCUUACUAUUAUUAAUUAGAGGCCCCAACAGAGGCACUAUAUUAGUUCUCACUAGAUGCUUACUGUUACUAAUUAGAUGCCCCAAUGGAGGCACCACAUUAGUUCUCACUAGAUGCACAAGGAAAAAAAGAUAAAAUCCUAUAAUUUUCACAAUAAUCACAAACAACUAGCCUUUGAUUUCUAAACUCUAUUUUUCACCGAUAAUAGCCAUUAGAUCUAUUAUAGUUUAUUCAAAAAUUACCCACCACGGCCAUUAUGAAUAAUACAUAAAACAACGCCCUAAUUUUGCAUCUAAAUUACCCAGCUGUGCCGCCACUACAAACGAUAAUUCAAAAUAAUCCCCUAUUUUUAUAUAAAUUACCCACAUCUGUCAUAAAAAAAAUUAAAAACAAUCCUCUAAAUUUGCAUCUAAAUUACCCACCUCUUCUGUUAUAAAGAUAAUUUAAAUUAACCCCCUUACAUUGCGUCUGAACUACGGAGCUUUGUUAUUCAAAGACAAUUUAAAACAAUCCUCAAACUGCAUAUCUAAAUUAUCCACAUCUAACAUCAUGAAAUAUGAUUUAAAAUACCUCUUAAUGGUUUUAUAAAUU